UCCCUGGUAGUAUAUCGGUUUAGUACACGCGCCUGUCAUUAGUUCAAUUUUGGAAUAUGCGCGCGAAAGCUGGGUUCGACUCCCAGCCAGGGAG